rnacentral:rRNA from 1 species
CCUACGGGAGGCAGCAGUAGGGAAUAUUGCGCAAUGGGCGAAAGCCUGACGCAGCAACGCCGCGUGGGGGAUGAAUGCCUUCGGGUUGUAAACCCCUUUCAGCAGGGACGAAAUUGACGGUACCUGCAGAAGAAGCCCCGGCCAACUACGUGCCAGCAGCCGCGGUAAUACGUAGGGGGCGAGCGUUGUCCGGAAUUAUUGGGCGUAAAGAGCUCGUAGGCGGCUCAGCAAGUCGGGUGGGAAAUCUCCAGGCUCAACCUGGAGCCUUCGCCCGAUACUGCUGUGGCUUGAGUCCGGUAGGGGAGUGUGGAAUUCCCGGUGUAGCGGUGAAAUGCGCAGAUAUCGGGAGGAACACCGGCGGCGAAGGCGGCACUCUGGGCCGGUACUGACGCUGAGGAGCGAAAGCGUGGGGAGCAAACAGGAUUAGAUACCCUAGUAGU